GCCGCUUGCGCUCAUCACUCAAGCGGUGGGGGCGGCGGGGCCGGGCCGGCGGCCGGGCAGCAAGGGGCGCGCACCCGGCGGAGGAGGGACGGGCCCCGCUUCGGGCAGCCGCGUUGCCUGCGCCACCUGCGUGAGCGAAAGACUGAAGCGGCGGUCCUGACUACAUUACGAUUCCUAUACGUAGAAUCUUCUCACUGCUGUAUCUCUGGGAAACAUGCAAGAAGUUUCUUUAGCAACUGAGGAUUACCUCAGCAAUAGUAAACUUGCUAACACCAAUAUCAAUCAAUCCAUGUACAUGGAGAUCAAAUGGAAGAUUUGCUACCUGCUUGAGAGGAUCAGGCCUAUGAUACUCUUACACUUUCCAAAAGAGUCUUCUGUUUCUGGAUAGAACCUUGUUUGAGGGAAUGAGGAACUUCUGUACAUCAGCCCUAUGCUCAGGGGGAGACUCCAGUGCCUCUUCUCACGAGUAGUGACUGUAAGUACAUGCAAUAGCAUGAGAUCUUUCACCAAUAACUGCCUUUUGCCUGGAAACCCCAUGCAUUCAUUGAGCACGCAUCCUGCUCCAACUUACAUGCAGCAAGUCUGAUGCUCCCUACACACGUCACAUUUAUUGUGUGACACAGUAAAGAUUGCAAUGUAGUCCUCAGAGACAUCCCAUAUUGGCAGGCAUUAACCAUGAAGUAUGACAGGCCAUUUCUCCCCAGACAAGAGGAGGAAGAUGCAACGAUUCUGACCUUUCUCUUAAAGCCAGCUUUCGGCAGGCAGGCCCUUGGACCUGCAUAAAACCUCAAAGAUGUCAAGCAUCUUUUUACUCCCUUCUGAAUGGAAAACUGGACUUCAUUAAGAGGAACAUACAGGAGAAAUAUUUUCUGACAGACUCUUCCAACACUAUCUAGUUGAUUUUGUCUUGGAUAUUGAACAUUCACUUGACAUUUACAUUUAUUAUUAACUCCAUUAUGAGUGUUUGAUGGAAUGAAAAGUGAGCUGCACAUUGUCAUUUCUGAUGCUAUUGCACCCAUAUGAAGAGGCAGUAGAAGUGACUUGAAACCAGUGAUGAGAAAGGAGAAACAAGAACUAGAAGCAAUUUAAUGCAUCUGGUCCAUUCAAAAAAGACUUUACCUUCUUUGAUUUUUCUAGCAGAUUUCCUGUAUGGGCUUAAAAGUGCACUAGUGCGCCAAUGUUAGACAUACAGAACUAGGAUCAUCUUUACCAGUGGUCUGAGGAACAAGACUUGUAAAUGAAUGCAAAUAAUUAAAGUUCUCCAGAAAGGAUAAAGACAAGCAUUGUAAUACUGGGUUUACAGGUGGGAAUUAGAAGCAUAAUAAAAUCCUAGUAAGUUACAUAACAAGACGGAUGCACAACCAGAAAAAACGGGGAUUUCUGACAAUCAAUUAGACACCCUCUGUCUCCUAUCCAGUAAGUCCUACUUUUCUUCAAGAGAAAGAAUUUCAAUUCUUGUCAGCCUAUUACUUUAAAAUAAUUUAAUGGCAAGUACUUCUUCAACACAGCUGCACCUGGAAUGGCAUAUUAGUGCCUAAAUGGAAGCUUAAUAGGAAGAGUUAAAGUGAACAAUGAAGAGAAUAGAAUAGAUGAUAGUGAAGGAGGGGGGGACAGAAUGAAGAUGAUAAUCAGAAAGACUAAAAAAAGAAAUGUCCGUAGAACCAAGUCAGAAAUGAUAAAGAAUAUAGGUAUUCUGGAAUAAAGAUGAGGGUGUAAAUUGAAUGACUAGGAAUAGAUUUAAAAAUGCAAAUAUGAGAUAAAACAAAAAAGGGAACUUUCUGAGAAAGAAAUACCAAAAGUGAACAGGGAAGUCAUGAGGAAAUUUUGUUGGCUGAACAAGAAGUGCAGUGACCUUAAAAGAACAAGCUUGAGAGAGUGAAAGACUAAGAAACCUUAAGGAGACCUUUUAUCAGGCCAAGACACUCUUUAAAAUUUAUCAAGAUAAACUCUGAUUAGAAUGUAUUUGCGUUUGUACAGCUCCUGCUACGGUUCUGUACAAGAAAAAAAUACAAACCUGUUUGAUUAUGAUUUUGCUCCUCAAUCCCCUGUAAUUCCCUGAAAGAUGCCAAAAGACAACUUUAAAAGAAGCUACCGGUGGUUAAUUUUAACCUCAGAUAAUGUAGGUGGAAUUACAGUUUUGUAUAUUCAUCAUGUAGAAGUAAAUGCAUUGAAGGAUUUACAUGGGCACAAUUUAAGCAAGGUGUUAACACUUUUGAAAGCCUCUGUAUUCUUUAGGACUAGACUUUCGAAAGAGAUAUACAUGAUGAACAUUUCAACACCUAAAUCUACGUAUCCACCCCUUAAAAUGCAAUCCACGUUCCUAUAUGUUGUAGAAUAAGGUUCACAGUAACUAGCACACUGAGCAGAGAGCUGCCAAAGCUCAGCAAUAGGAAACACUACCUGAAGUACCACCAGACCCCCCUGUCUUAAUGCACUGCAAGGAGCUUCUUGGCUAAUGCUGCCAAGCCAAAGAUGUGCUUUGACACACAGCUCUGAGUUGUCAUCUUUUCCAGUAGCCCAUGCACCCUAAUGGAGCUGCACAUUGUUACCCUUCAGAUACUUUGAAGGAAUAUGGGGGGCACGGGAGGGAGAAAGGGGAGGAUGUGAAAAUGGUCCAGCAUCCCAGUUUAAAGUUCACCAUGCCUUUUAAAGGACAGAAUACUUUGAUAAUAGACAGUUGUCUUGAAGUCACUCAACUCCAGCUAAACCAAGACUAAAAUGAAUAGAAAUAUUUUCUAUACAAAAUCCAAAACAGACAACUGAACUAGAUACAAAACAAAAAGAGAUAAGACAGAAGUGAGAGGGAGCCAUACAAAAACUACUUAUCCACAAACCAAAAGUUUCUUCUACUUCUGCUCUCCUCUAUCCAGCCAACAUCCUGGUAGAUUCUUAACAGAGACAUCCAGAGAUUUGGUCCUUUUGCAUAGAUUAUAUCCUAAGGGAAAAAGGGAGCCUAGCUUUGGGAAUCCUUCCUUUCUUGCACAACCAACAGCCUUCUUGGGGAGCAAUUAAGAUUCAAGACAUCUUCCCCAUUCCACUCUACUGAGAAAGAUUUCUUGAUGUUCAUUCAGUCCCAAGUAACUACAAAAUUCCUCUACCUUUGCCACUGAGUGCCUCUUCAUGCUUUGGAAAUGUUAAUUUGCCUUAGGCUAUCUAGGAGCAAUCACCACCUGCUUAGGAAAUAAACAGGUUAUGCUAAUGGAUGCUCCAGUGUUCAGUUGAAUCUUAAGCAAAAGUUUUAACCUGCUAUACAAGAUAUCCUUUCUUGCUAAGCAAUUCAAAUCCCAGGCUGAAGGUUUUUCACAGUAUCACGCAACUUGAUGUUUUAUGUGUGUAUGUAGCCUGACAGUCUUAUUUGAUAUAAUCACGUAACUCAGUUUCCCUGCAGUUGACCCAAGAUUAGAUCUUGUCUGAAAACAGACACUACAGCUAUCUGUGACAGUUUCUCCUCUCCUCUCCCCAAAUUGUUUUUGAGGGACACCAGGAUAUUGCCAGUUUUAAGUUAGAUAUCUAACUUGAGGUGGCACCCCUACCCUUGCUUGGUUUUAGCUACUGAAGUUCUAUUAAGUUAAAUGAAUUUUGGCGAAUUAAAAUUUCAACUAUAUAGCACUUUUCUUAAUCUGAAAAACACUUUUUUUGUCUAAAAAAAAAGAAAAACAUACUAAAUAAAAUUCACUGCCUGAAAACAGUCUAAAAAAUUUACAAUAACUCUCUUAAAUGCAGGCCUUUGGUGAAUCCAUCUGGACAUCUAGCUUAUCUCCUACUCUACCAGUUUUUCAUUACUACUUGUCUGCUAAAUUUGUAAAACAAUUCUAAAGAAGAACUGUUCAAGAGGAAGUGAUGUAAUUUUGCUUCUUUCUGAGCUUCCUCGGAGUGUAUGCCAUUAACACUCUAUACAUGAAUUGUGUGAGAACAGUUACGACAUGUCACUAAAGAUGGAUCACACUAACAGCAUGUUUCUCUCAUUCAUUACUGUUUAACACAUCUCACUGAUUCAGCUAUAUUCUUCACUUCUUCAGUAUGUUUCUGCUUUUUCUUCUGAUCAUCCAGCAGGUCUUUACUAUCUCCACCACAUUUAGCGCUUUAACACCCAACUCACAUGUGAAGAAGCUGCAAAACUUGCAGCACUUCUGAACUAAUAAGAGGGAUGGUUUCAAAUGUCAUCAUUACAUCUGAUACCAUGGCUUCCACUUGUGAACAGAUUUCCUGGGAGGCUAUUUUAUGCCCACAACAAAUUUUAAUCUAGAAAGUAUCCUAAGUUUCCGAGUUUAUUGCUUCUGUUCACGAGCCAUAAGAAUACUUCUCUCUCUCUCUCUUUGCACUGCUUGUGCCCCCUGAAGUUACAUAAACAACCUGUGGGACAGCAAAAGCUAACAACUUCCUGUGUCUCCUGAAUUAAUAAAGUAACCAAGUUCUGUCCUCAGGCUUACACUUACAGACUUAGAGAGAUCACGACAGUCUCAAAUUCUAGCUCUGCAACUGGAAUUUUCUUAAUACUGUAGAAUUUUGUUCUACAGACUGCUGUAUUUCACCAUUUCAUUGUCUGAUAACAUUUUUUGCUCAGCUAGGAUAACAGAAAGAAAUGUAAUAUCCUAUUAUACUUACUGGCUAUGCUGGAGAUGACUGGACUCUGUCUUCAUAAGGCGAGAAGAGAUAUUAGUGCAAAAUCUCUAGCCUAUGUCAAGUACUCCCUAAGCCUCUCUUCCACAGCAGUGCCACUGACUACUGGGGUAACAUUUGAUGGACAAGGAGGUCCGAAACACAUGAAGGAUGUUUAUCAACUGAGAUUAUUACCAGGAAUUGACCAUGAUACGAGACACUCUUGGGAAAAGGCUUGUCAUGAAAACUAUGUAAAAUUCCUGUUCUGUGACUGCCAGUAGCUGUUUCAUGGGUUCCCUUGAGAUGAUUUAUAAACAAAGUGUGCAAAGGAUAUGAUUACGCAAUGAUGAAGUAUUUCCUGCACUACAGAAAUAAAAUAAUGAUAGUAUUAAAUAAUUUUCCUUUUUUUCUCGCAUCAGACAAUAGUACAUCGAGCAAUCAAAGAAUUGAGAGGUAAUUUUUUCCUGUUGCUUUUACUUCAGGUUUGACAGGAUGUAGUUACAGGUAAUUAAUUAAGACAGGAUACUAAUAUUAUUUGUGUUUCUGCGGGAAAAAACGUGCAUUUAACUAAAAAGAAUCAGUAUAAGAAACUUCAGUUAUCAGCUGUACCUAUCUAGGAUAUCCAAUAUAUGUCAAACUUGUUUUAAUAAGUUGCUUUAAUAUUCCAAGCUAAGUAUAGACACAUAGGUGUUUUAUUGUUUUAAACAGGCAUAUUCUUCAAAACAGAGGCAACUUAUUUGUAGAUCAGAAUUAUCUGUACAGGUAACUGAAACAAAUUAAACUUCCCUCAUUACAAAUUUA